rnacentral:tRNA from 1 species
GCCGGGGUGGCGAAAUUGGGAGACGCAAGGGACUUAAAAUCCCUCGGACUUUUUAAGUCCGUGCCGGUUCGACUCCGGCCCUCGGCA